AGCGAACGCUGGCGGCAGGCCUAACACAUGCAAGUCGAACGAAGUCUUCGGACUUAGUGGCGGACGGGUGAGUAACACGUGGGAACGUACCUUUUGGUUCGGAACAACUCAGGGAAACUUGAGCUAAUACCGGAUGAGCCCUUAGGGGGAAAGAUUUAUCGCCGAAAGAGCGGCCCGCGUUAGAUUAGCUAGUUGGUGAGGGAAAGGCUAACCAAGGCUACGAUGUAUAGCUGGUCUGAGAGGAUGAUCAGCCACACUGGGACUGUGACACGGCCCAGACUCCUACGGGAAGCAGCAGUGGGGAAUCUUGCGCAAUGGGCGAAAGCCUGACGCAGCCAUGCCGCGUGAAUGAUGAAGGUCUUAGGAUUGUAAAAUUCUUUUACCAGGGACGAUAAUGACGGUACCUGGAGAAAAAGCCCCGGCUAACUUCGUGCCAGCCGCCGCGGUAAGAC
rnacentral:rRNA from 1 species